rnacentral:lncRNA from 1 species
GACACCACGUGCCUUCAUCAAUCUUCGCUUACAGCAAAGUAAAAUUAAAUAUGAUCAGUGUACCUUCGGCCACGAAGACAUUCAGCAGAGACGAAGCAUUUGUGAAGAAAGGCGACUCAGUGUGUCAGAUUUUUAUGGGAGGCGACCCUAUAGGCUCAGGAUUCUUGUUCGCUCAUAACUAUAUUCUAACAAAUGCCCAUGUUGUCAUGGAUUACCGCAGUAAUUCAGAUACAUUUCUUAUUAAGUUUGCCUGUGGGAUUUCAAGAAAUGUUCACAUUGAAGGACGAGUUGUUACUUUCUGUUACGGUUAUGACCCGUUUGGGCGUUGGUUGGAUUACGCUUUACUGGAGCUGUGUCAAGAUGCCAUAUUACCUGCUCCGCUCCUUAAGUUUUACGCUCCCCCUCCAAAGCAAGGCCAAACUUGCAUUAUUGGUUAUCCCAGUGAAGGGGGCAAGUGUGCAGAGUACAGUCAUAUAAAUGAAUUAGAACUGUACGAUGCUGACAACGUAAAUAUCCAAAAAAUACUAAGCAGUCAUCUUAUCAUUUACCCAACCAGUAUGCUUCACGGGUCUUCUGGGUCACCUGGUUUUGUAGCUCUUAACCUGGUAUUCAUGCAUACUGGGGGCUUCACUUACAGAGGUAAACUGAUUAAAGAUCAGAUUGGGUAUGGCAUUCCACUCAGGUCAAUAAUAUGCCAUCUUUUCCUGUGGAUCACAGAGAAUGAGGAUUCACACCUUCUUUCACAUUUUAUUUCUGAAGCUCUUCUGCAUUCACUAAUUCCCCUCGUUGCCGACUGCAGUCUUGAUCUGGAGAACGCAUUCCCAACCAUGCCUGACCUCCCUCGUCAAACUUUGAGACUCUGUCGUGUUCUCAGUCAGAAUAUUUCAGCAGAGAACUUGCAGGUACUUAAGAAUCAACUAGCAAGUGAUACGUACGACGAAAAGCUUCGCUGGAUUCUCUCUGAAUUACAGGAUACUUGCGACAAACUCCAUGAUUCUGAAGAUCUGGAGUGUGAUACACCGAUGGAGAUUGAUUAAUAUUACUAUAAUUGCUACAUUAUAAAAAUUUUAUGAUUUCCAUCCAUCCAUCCAUCUUCCUCCGCUAUCCGGGUCGCGGGGGCAGCAGUCCGAGCAGAGUCCUCCAGACUUCCCUCUCCCCGCACACCUCCUCCAGUUCCUCUGGGGAAACCCCAAGGCGUUCCCAGGCCAGCCGGAGACAUAGUCUCUCCAACGUGUCCUGGGUCUGCCCCGAGGCCUCCUCCCAGUGGGACAAGCCCAGAACACCUCCCCACGGAGGCGUCCAGGAGGCAUCCGGAACAGAUGCCCGAGCCACCUCAAUUGGCUCCUCUCGAUGCGGAGGAGCAGCAGCUCUACUCCGAGCUCCUCCCGGGUGACUGAGCUCCUCACCCUAUCCCUAAGGGUGCGCCCAG